GUUUGCCCAUGCCUGCCCAAAAGGCACGAGAUCCCAUCUGAUCUUGGAAGUCAAGUAUGAUCAGCCCUAGUUAGUACUUGAAUGAAAGGCUGCCAAUGAAUGCCAGAUGAGGUAGGCU
rnacentral:rRNA from 11 species